UACCUGGUUGAUUCUGCCAGUAGUCAUAUGCUUGUCUUAAAGAUUAAGCCAUGCAUGUCUAAGUAUAAGCAAUUAUACAGCGAAACUGCGAAUGGCUCAUUAAAUCAGUUAUCGUUUAUUUGAUAGUACCUUACUACAUGGAUAACCGUGGUAAUUCUAGAGCUAAUACAUGCUGAAAACCCCGACUUCGGAAGGGGUGUAUUUAUUAGAUUAAAAACCAAUGCCCUUCGGGGCUCACUGGUGAUUCAUGAUAACUUCUCGAAUCGCACGGCCUUGCGCCGGCGAUGGUUCAUUCAAAUUUCUGCCCUAUCAACUUUCGACGGCUGGGUCUUGGCCAGCCGUGGUGACAACGGGUAACGGAGGGUUAGGGCUCGACCCCGGAGAAAACGCCUGAGAAACGGCGUUUACAUCCAAGGAAGGCAGCAGGCGCGCAAAUUACCCAAUGCCGACACGGCGAGGUAGUGACGAGAAAUACUGAUACAGGGCUCUUUUGGGUCUUGUAAUUGGAAUGAGUACAAUUUAAAUCUCUUAACGAGGAACAAUUGGAGGGCAAGUCUGGUGAACGUUCCAGUUCCGAUGCUGGUGCCAGAGAUAGCGGUUAAAUAGCCCACGCUAGUCGAGCAUCCGCCAUCAGCGGGAGGAUGCCGGCGAGACAACCUGGAUCGGGGGACGCUAAGGUGCCGAAGGGCGCUAUGCCAUCCCGAGCGGAGUCCACUGACCGGACCCGUGUAGAGCGCGCAAAGGUGUCGGUCCGGCUCCGUCCGAGCUUGUGCCUUAAGGUACGUUGCUCGAUCCCCCGGCGAAAGGCGGGGGCCGCGGUCAAAUGAUUGCCCGCCUGCACCGAAUGGGACCGGGAUGGUCCGAGGNNNNNNNNNNNNNNNNNNNNNNNNNNNNNNNNNNNNNNNNNNNNNNNNNNNNNNNNNNNNNNNNNNNNNNNNNNNNNNNNNNNNNNNNNNNNNNNNNNNNUCCUCAGGCUUACCGGUGUCUCGAAAGCUUAAGGUUUGUCCUAUCCCGACGGGCAACGAUGCUAUCCUGAAUAGUUCCGAGUCUACGAAGCAGGAUAGGGGGAGUAUAAUGCCGCCUGUUUUAAAAUGCCAGCUCUACGAGGAUGACCGAAUGAGGAGCUCAUUGUUGAUUUUUGUGGAGGUGGUGCAUGACCAUUAAUACGUAGGUGGAGUGAUUUUGUCUGCUUAAUUGCGAUACGUACGAGACCUUAACCUGCUAAAUAGCCCGCGUCGCUUUGGCGGCGCGCAGGCUUCUUAGAGGGACUAUCGGCUCAAGCCGAUGGAAGUUUGAGGCAAUAACAGGUUAACCUUUCACAGGCCUGUAACAGUGCACUCGUGCGCUAGUCCAACGCCGUAGUCCGCGGGGAAGUCCCCGUCUGUCGGGCGGACUGACGGGCCUCAGGGCCCGCCUGGCGUGGGCGACACUACCUGGUACAGGGAACGCCGUCAUCGCGGGGCGCUUUGCGUCGCCCCGCGCCGGCCGAUCCUGUGGCGAGCCCCGAGUAAACGCCGGGGCCGUCGCAACGCGCGGAAAGGAGUGGGCCUUCGGGCUUAAGGUACGUGCUAAUCCGCCGGGAUGAUAAACCGGUCCCCCGCAAUGAGGCCCGACAGGCCGAGGUGCGGGGGGGCAGCCCCCCUUGUGGGCUGCCGGUGUGGCGGGGUCGCUUCAGGGCCCCGCCGAUGCUGUGAUGCCCUUAGAUGUUCUGGGCCGCACGCGCGCUACACUGACACAGCCAGCGAGUCCUUCCUUGGCCGAGAGGCCCGGGUAAUCUUGUUAAACUGUGUCGUGCUGGGGAUAGAGCAUUGCAAUUAUUGCUCUUCAACGAGGAAUCCCUAGUAAGCGCAAGUCAUCAGCUUGCGUUGAUUACGUCCCUGCCCUUUGUACACACCGCCCGUCGCUACUACCGAUUGAACGGCUCAGUGAGGCCUUCGGACUGGCCCAGGGAGGUGGGCAACUACCACCCAGGUGCCGGAAAGUUGUACGAACUCGGUCGUUUAGAGGAAGUAAAAGUCGUAACAAGGUCUCCGUUGGUGAACCAGCGGAGGGAUCAUUA
rfam:Magnaporthe poae ATCC 64411 unplaced genomic scaffold supercont1.18, whole genome shotgun sequence.